AAAUUGAAGAGUUUGAUCAUGGCUCAGAUUGAACGCUGGCGGCAGGCCUAACACAUGCAAGUCGAGCGGUAGCACAGAGAGCUUGCUCUCGGGUGACGAGCGGCGGACGGGUGAGUAAUGUCUGGGAAACUGCCUGAUGGAGGGGGAUAACUACUGGAAACGGUAGCUAAUACCGCAUAACGUCGCAAGACCAAAGUGGGGGACCUUCGGGCCUCAUGCCAUCAGAUGUGCCCAGAUGGGAUUAGCUAGUAGGUGGGGUAACGGCUCACCUAGGCGACGAUCCCUAGCUGGUCUGAGAGGAUGACCAGCCACACUGGAACUGAGACACGGUCCAGACUCCUACGGGAGGCAGCAGUGGGGAAUAUUGCACAAUGGGCGCAAGCCUGAUGCAGCCAUGCCGCGUGUGUGAAGAAGGCCUUCGGGUUGUAAAGCACUUUCAGCGGGGAGGAAGGCGAUAAGGUUAAUAACCUUGUCGAUUGACGUUACCCGCAGAAG
rnacentral:rRNA from 1 species